rnacentral:rRNA from 1 species
GUAUGAUGGCCACACGAGGGCUUUACUGUCUCUUACUUCCAAUCCGUGAAAUUGACCUUCCCGUGAAGAGGCGGGAAUAUAACAAUAAGACGAGAAGACCCUAUGGAGCUUUAAUUAACCGACCCAAAGAGACCCCACUAAUUAACCGACAGGAACAACAAAUCUCUACAUGGGCCGACAAUUUAGGUUGGGGUGACCUCGGAGAAUAAAACAACCUCCGAGUGAUUUAAAUCUAGACUAACCAGUCGAAAGUAUUACAUCACUUAUUGAUCCAAAAACUUGAUCAACGGAACAAGUUACCCUAGGGAUAACAGCGCAAUCCUAUUUUAGAGUCCAUAUCGACAAUAGGGUUUACGACCUCGUUG